AAAAUAGUAAUAAUAAUAAUAAUAAUAAUUU
rnacentral:misc_RNA from 1 species